CAGGAUUAGAUACCCUGGUAGUCCACGCUGUAAACGAUGAAUGCUAGGUGUCGGGGGUUUAGAUACCUUCGGUGCUGCAGUUAACGCAAUAAGCAUUCCGCCUGGGGAGUACGAUCGCAAGAUUGAAACUCAAAGGAAUUGACGGGGGCCCGCACAAGCAGCGGAGCAUGUGGUUUAAUUCGACGCAACGCGAAGAACCUUACCAAGGCUUGACAUCCUCUGACGUACCUAGAGAUAGGUUUCCCUACGGGGCAGAGAGACAGGUGGUGCACGGUUGUCGUCAGCUCGUGUCGUGAGAUGUUGGGUUAAGUCCCGCAACGAGCGCAACCCUUGUGUUUAGUUGCCAUCAUUAAGUUGGGGACUCUAGACAGACUGCCGGUGACAAACCGGAGGAAGGUGGGGAUGACGUCAAAUCAGCAUGCCCUUUAUGCCUUGGGCUACACACGUGCUACAAUGGUCUGUACAAAGAGAAGCGAAACCGCGAGGUGGAGCGGAUCUCAUAAAGCAGAUCUCAGUUCGGAUUGUAGGCUGAAACUCGCCUACAUGAAGUUGGAGUUGCUAGUAAUCGUAGGUCAGCAAUACUACGGUGAAUGCGUUCCCGGGCCUUGUACACACCG
rnacentral:rRNA from 1 species